UACAGAGGUCUCGAGCGUUGUUCGGAUUCAUUGGGCGUAAAGGGUGCGUAGGCGGCGCGGUAAGUCGGGUGUGAAAUCUCGGAGCUUAACUCCGAAACUGCAUUUGAUACUGCCGUGCUUGAGGACUGGAGAGGAGACUGGAAUUCUCGGUGUAGCGGUGAAAUGCGUAGAUAUCGAGAGGAACACCCGUGGCGAAGGCGGGUCUCUGGACAGUUCCUGACGCUGAGGCACGAAGGCCAGGGGAGCAAACGGG
rnacentral:rRNA from 1 species